rnacentral:rRNA from 1 species
CCUACGGGUGGCAGCAGUAGGGAAUCUUUCACAAUGGGCGAAAGCCUGAUGGAGCAACGCCGCGUGCAGGAUGGAGGCCUUCGGGUUGUAAACUGCUUUUAUAAGCGAGAAAUAUGAUGGUAACUUAUGAAUAAGGAUCGGCUAACUCCGUGCCAGCAGCCGCGGUAAUACGGAGGAUUCAAGCGUUAUCCGGAUUUAUUGGGUUUAAGGGGUGCGUAGGCGGUCGGAUAAGUUGGAGGUGAAAUCCCGAGGCUCAACUUCGGAAUUGCCGCUGAUACUGUUCGGCUAGAGAGUAGUUGCGGUAGGCGGAAUGUAUGGUGUAGCGGUGAAAUGCUUAGAGAUCAUACAGAACACCGAUUGCGAAGGCAGCUUACCAAGCUACUUCUGACGUUGAGGCACGAAAGCGUGGGGAGCAAACAGGAUUAGAUACCCUUGUAGUC